rnacentral:rRNA from 1 species
UACGAAGGGGGCUAGCGUUGUUCGGAUUUACUGGGCGUAAAGCGCACGUAGGCGGAUCGAUCAGUCAGGGGUGAAAUCCCAGGGCUCAACCCUGGAACUGCCUUUGAUACUGUCGAUCUGGAGUAUGGAAGAGGUGAGUGGAAUUCCGAGUGUAGAGGUGAAAUUCGUAGAUAUUCGGAGGAACACCAGUGGCGAAGGCGGCUCACUGGCCCAUAACUGACGCUGAGGCACGAAAGCGUGGGGAGCAAACAGG